AGAGUUUGAUCCUGGCUCAGAUUGAACGCUGGCGGCAGGCCUAACACAUGCAAGUCGAGCGGAUGACGGGAGCUUGCUCCUUGAUUCAGCGGCGGACGGGUGAGUAAUGCCUAGGAAUCUGCCUGGUAGUGGGGGACAACGUUUCGAAAGGAACGCUAAUACCGCAUACGUCCUACGGGAGAAAGCAGGGGACCUUCGGGCCUUGCGCUAUCAGAUGAGCCUAGGUCGGAUUAGCUAGUUGGUGGGGUAAUGGCUCACCAAGGCGACGAUCCGUAACUGGUCUGAGAGGAUGAUCAGUCACACUGGAACUGAGACACGGUCCAGACUCUUACGGGAGGCAGCAGUGGGGAAUAUUGGACAAUGGGCGAAAGCCUGAUCCAGCCAUGCCGCGUGUGUGAAGAAGGUCUUCGGAUUUUAGGGCACUUUAAGUUGGGAGGAAGGGCAGU
rnacentral:rRNA from 1 species